rnacentral:rRNA from 1 species
GUGAACGCUGGCGGCGUGCCUAACACAUGCAAGUCGAACGAUGAUAGGAAGCUUGCUUCUUUGAUUAGUGGCGCACGGGUGAGUAAUGCAUAGAUAAUGUGCCCCUUAGUUCGGGAUAGCCACUGGAAACGGUGAUUAAUACCGGAUACUCCUUCUCGUUAUAAGACGAGUCGGGAAAGUUUUUCGCUAAGGGAUCAGUCUAUGUUCCAUCAGCUUGUUGGUGAGGUAAUGGCUCACCAAGGCUAUGACGGAUAUCUGGUUUGAGAGGAUGAUCAGACACACUGGAACUGAGACACGGUCCAGACUCCUACGGGAGGCAGCAGUGAGGAAUAUUGCACAAUGGAGGAAACUCUGAUGCAGCAACGCCGCGUGGAGGAUGACGCAUUUCGGUGUGUAAACUCCUUUUAUUAGGGAAGAUAAUGACGGUACCUAAUUAAUCCGCACCGGCUCACUCCUU